CCGAGUUGUAAUUUGCAGAGGAUGCUUUUGGUGCGGUGCCUUCCGAGUUCCCUGGAACGGGACGCCUUAGAGGGUGAGAGCCCCGUACGGUUGGCCACCAAGCCUGUGUAAAGCUCCUUCGACGAGUCGAGUAGUUUGGGAAUGCUGCUCAAAAUGGGAGGUAUAUUUCUUCUAAAGCUAAAUACUGGCCAGAGACCGAUAGCGCACAAGUAGAGUGAUCGAAAGAUGAAAAGCACUUUGAAAAGAGGGUUAAAUAGCACGUGAAAUUGUUGAAAGGGAAGGAUUUGUGACCAGACUUUUUCUGGGGGGAUCAUCCGGUGUUCUCACCGGUGCACUUCCCCCAGUUGAGGCCAGCAUCGGUUUCUGCCGGGGGAUAAAAGCUUUGGGAAUGUGGCUCCUUCGGGAGUGUUAUAGCCCGUUGCAUAAUACCCUGGCGGGGACCGAGGUUCGCGCAUUGCAAGGAUGCUGGCGUAAUGGUUAUUAAUCACCCGUCUUGAAACACGGACCAAGGAGUCGAACAUUUGUGCCAGUGUUUGGGUGUUAAACCCUGACGCGUAAUGAAAGUGAACGGAGGUGAGAGCCUUUAGGGGUGCAUCAUCGACCGAUCCUGAUGUCUUCGGAUGGAUUUGAGUAAGAGCAUAACUGUUCGGACCCGAAAGAUGGUGAACUAUGC
rnacentral:rRNA from 2 species